rnacentral:lncRNA from 1 species
AAACCAAUUUCAAGAUUUCCAGGAAAAGUAAUUAAUAUUUUAAUAUAUUUGCAACUCCAUUUUAAGCUCACAGAAAUAUGCCAAAUACCAAUUUUCAAGCAGAAUGCACAGAGAUGCAAUCUGACAUUUAACCUAAGGAUAAACUUGGUUAGGUCUCUUUACUCAGCUUGCCUGGAUCCUGUCUCUUCAGACACAAUUAUCCCGCCAUUCCCAGUCACAGUCUGUUCACGUCAUCACUGGUUGGCAGCUCUUUCAUUUGUGAGCAAGUAUGGAACCAGGUUAUCCUUGAACUCAGUGGUAGGCCUUGCUCUGCAGGGAUUAAAGGCGAGUGCCACCGUGGCCCAGCUGGGCAAGUAUGUUUGAGAAUGAGGCACAUGUAGUAAAAUUAGAACCCAGACACUUGACAAGCACCUGCCAGCAUGCUCAGAAUCACGAUUAUUCUUCCAUGGAAGCAGCUAUUGACACAUUAGAUCCCAAGAGAGAUACCAGAUUGUGGCCAUCUUUGUUUUACUUAAUUAAAAAUAGUUUUGAAAAAUGAA